rnacentral:RNase_P_RNA from 1 species
GGGAGCAGGAGGGUUGCUGACAGUGCUAAACACUGAGGAAAGUCCCCUCUCCACGGCGCAAGUGGUCCGGUUUACGCCGGAGAUUCGAGAGAGUCGGCAAUGUAGCAGAAACGAACUGUUGCGGGUGUGUGCGAUGAUUCCGGAAGGAAGAGGUCGCCCGUAUGCAGAUGGAACGAACAUCCCCACUGGAGCAAGUCCAAACAGUCCCGUCGACGUGCGUCGCCGAGGGGCGGGUCGGAUGCUAAGUUGAAUGCAGCCAGCCGAAAGGUGAACAGAAAGGGGCUUACUCCCUGCACCC